CCUACGGGUGGCAGCAGUGAGGAAUAUUGGUCAAUGGGCGUGAGCCUGAACCAGCCAAGUAGCGUGAAGGAUGAAUGUUCUACGGAUUGUAAACCUCUUUUAUAAAGGAAUAAAGUGUGGCACGUGUGCUGUUUUGUAUGUACUUUAUGAAUAAGGAUCGGCUAACUCCGUGCCAGCAGCCGCGGUAAUACGGAGGAUCCGAGCGUUAUCCGGAUUUAUUGGGUUUAAAGGGAGCGUAGAUGGGUUGUUAAGUCAGUUGUGAAAGUUUGCGGCUCAACCGUAAAAUUGCAAUUGAAACUGGCAGGCUUGAGUAUAGUUGAGGUAGGCGGAAUGCGUGGUGUAGCGGUGAAAUGCUUAGAUAUCACGCAGAACGCCGAUUGCGAAGGCAGCUUACUAAGCUGCCACUGACAUUGAUGCUCGAAAGUGUGGGGAUCAAACAGGAUUAGAUACCCUAGUAGUC
rnacentral:rRNA from 1 species